UACAGAGGUCCCAAGCGUUUGUUCGGAUUCACUGGGCGUAAAGGGUGCGUAGGCGGUGAGGUAAGUUUGACGUGAAAUCUCCGGGCUCAACCCGGAACUGCGUUGAAUACUAUUCGCUAGAGGAAUGGAGGGGAGACUGGAAUACUUGGUGUAGCAGUGAAAUGCGUAGAUAUCAAGUGGAACACCAGUGGCGAAGGCGAGUCUCUGGACAUUUCCUGACGCUGAGGCACGAAAGCCAGGGGAGCAAACGGG
rnacentral:rRNA from 1 species